GACGAACGCUGGCGGCGUGCCUAAUACAUGCAAGUAGGACGCAGUUGCGAACGGGUGAGUAACGCGUAGGUAACUACCUAUGAGAGGGGGAUAACAAUUGGAAACGAUAGCUAAUACCGCAUACUAGUAGAUGGACCUUCGUUGUAUUAGCUCGUAGGUAGGGUAAUGGGCUCACUAGGCAACGAUACAUAGCCGAGCUGAGAGGGGGAACCGCCAAAAUGGGACUGAGGACAGGCCCAAAAUCCCACGGGGAGCAGGAGUAGGGAAGUUUCGGCAAUUGGGGGAAAGCGGAACGAGCAACGGCGCGGGGGAGAAGAAGGUUUUCGGAUCGUAAAGCUCUGUUGUUAAGGAAGCGGUACUUAACCAGAAAGGGACGGCUAACUACGUGCCAGCAGCCGCGGUAAUAC
rnacentral:rRNA from 1 species